GUUUGGAGAAGGAAUUGGUGGUGUGUGUCUGUGCCAGUGUGUGUGUGAGGCAGGCGGUGUCUGGCUUAGUGGCUGAGUAUUGCUGCUUUACCCUCCCAGUAAGUCAACGUACAGCGAUCUGCUAUAGGUACCUUUGAGCAUCUGUGUAAGACGCACCAGGCAUCAGAGGAACUACUCCAGUCGUCCAUUCACUCCAAUAUUAACCUGACUGCGGCACUAAGACUCUGUGAGCAUCAGUCCCACUGGAGAACCGAGGACCCGCCGCCUGUGGCUCAGCAAGAUCGUGACUUAUCCUUGGUGUGUCUAAGGUUGUGAGUUCCAGUCCUGGGUGAUGCAAAAUAAACCUGCUAAUGUCUACGCCAUUGUGCCGUGUCGAUUAAAGAAGCGUGACUUCAAGG